GCGCGAGUGGGCAAGCUGGUAAAGCCGCUCGGUUCAGAACCGAGAGAUUCUGCGGGUUCGACUCCCGCCUCGCGCA
rnacentral:tRNA from 1 species